AGCAGCAGCCACGGUAAUACGGAGGAUCCAAGCGUUAUCCGGAAUCAUUGGGUUUAAAGGGUCCGUAGGCGGUCUUGUAAGUCAGUGGUGAAAGCCCAUCGCUCAACGGUGGAACGGCCAUUGAUACUGCAGGACUUGAAUUAUUGGGAAGUAACUAGAAUAUGUAGUGUAGCGGUGAAAUGCUUAGAGAUUACAUGGAAUACCAAUUGCGAAGGCAGGUUACUACCAAUUGAUUGACGCUGAUGGACGAAAGCGUGGGUAGCGAACAGGAUUAGAUACCCCGGUAGUCCCUGUCUCUUAUAC
rnacentral:rRNA from 1 species